GACGAACGCUGGCGGCGUGCCUAAUACAUGCAAGUAGAACGCUGAAGGAGGAGCUUGCUUCUCAGGAUGAGUUGCGAACGGGUGAGUAACGCGUAGGUAACCUGCCUGGUAGCGGGGGAUAACUAUUGGAAACGAUAGCUAAUACCGCAUAAGAGUAGAUGUUGCAUGACAUUUGCUUAAAAGGUGCAAUUGCAUCACUACCAGAUGGACCUGCGUUUUAUUAGCUAGUUGGUGGGGUAACGGCUUACCAAGGCGACGAUACAUAGCCUACCUGAGAGGGUGAACGGCCACACUGGGACUGAGACACGGCCCAGACUCCUACGGGAGGCAGCAGUAGGGAAUCUUCGGCAAUGGAAGGAAGUCUGACCGAGCAACGCCGCGUGAGUGAAGAAGGUUUUCGGAUCGUAAAGCUCUGUUGUAAGAGAAGAACGAGUGUGAGAGUGGAAAGUUCACACUGUGACGGUAGCUUACCAGAAAGGGACGGCUAACUACGUG
rnacentral:rRNA from 1 species